rnacentral:rRNA from 1 species
AUUGAACGCUGGCGGCAUGCUUUACACAUGCAAGUCGAACGGCAGCGCGGGCUUCGGCCUGGCGGCGAGUGGCGAACGGGUGAGUAAUACAUCGGAACGUGCCCAGUAGUGGGGGAUAGCUCGGCGAAAGCCGGAUUAAUACCGCAUACGACCUGAGGGUGAAAGCGGGGGAUCUUCGGACCUCGCGCUAUUGGAGCGGCCGAUGGCAGAUUAGCUAGUUGGUGGGGUAAAGGCCUACCAAGGCGACGAUCUGUAGCUGGUCUGAGAGGACGACCAGCCACACUGGGACUGAGACACGGCCCAGACCCCUACGGGAGGCAGCAGUGGGGAAUUUUGGACAAUGGGCGAAAGCCUGAUCCAGCAAUGCCGCGUGUGUGAUGAAGGCCUUCGGGUUGUAAAGCACUUUUGGCGGGAACGAAAAGGACUGUGCCAAUACCACGGUUCGAUGACGGUACCCGCAGAAUAAGCACCGGCUAACUACG